rnacentral:lncRNA from 1 species
AAGAAGAGCACGCAGCAAGGAAGUUGUCUUUAAAACAUAAAAAAAGAGACACAGAAAAAGAAGAAAGAGAAUAUAGGAAACCACAAAGGGAAAAAGAAGAGAGGAAUGUUGUAAAAGUUAGCACCAAGAAUAAAUGAGCUUGGAAGUAGAAAUUAUUAUUCACAAUAUUUAAGAAAUUUUUAACUCUUAGCUAUAGAAAAGUGUUUGUAAACUCAUAUUUAAUAGAAAAUAUUAUAAAAUAUAUUAAACUUUAUUUUUUAACUAUAUUAAUUUCAACCGAUAAUUUUAUUACUAUAUUAAAGUUUAUU